rnacentral:rRNA from 1 species
GAUGAACGCUGGCGGCGUGCCUAAUACAUGCAAGUCGAGCGAACAGACGAGGAGCUUGCUCCUUUGACGUUAGCGGCGGACGGGUGAGUAACACGUGGGUAACCUACCUAUAAGACUGGGAUAACUUCGGGAAACCGGAGCUAAUACCGGAUAAUAUUUCGAACCGCAUGGUUCGAUAGUGAAAGAUGGCUUUGCUAUCACUUAUAGAUGGACCUGCGCCGUAUUAGCUAGUUGGUAAGGUAACGGCUUACCAAGGCAACGAUACGUAGCCGACCUGAGAGGGUGAUCGGCCACACUGGAACUGAGACACGGUCCAGACUCCUACGGGAGGCAGCAGUAGGGAAUCUUCCGCAAUGGGCGAAAGCCUGACGGAGCAACGCCGCGUGAGUGAUGAAGGUCUUCGGAUCGUAAAACUCUGUUAUUAGGGAAGAAUAAACGUGUAAGUAACUGUGCACGUCUUGACGGUACCUAAGCAGAAAGCCACGGCUAACUACGU